rnacentral:rRNA from 1 species
AUUGAACGCUGGCGGCAUGCUUUACACAUGCAAGUCGAACGGUAACAGGCCUUCGGGUGCUGACGAGUGGCGAACGGGUGAGUAAUGCAUCGGAACGUGCCCAGAGGUGGGGGAUAACGCAGCGAAAGCUGUGCUAAUACCGCAUGUGAUCUGAGGAUGAAAGCGGGGGACCAGGCAGCAAUGUUUGGCCUCGCGCCUUUGGAGCGGCCGAUGUCAGAUUAGGUAGUUGGUGGGGUAAAGGCCUACCAAGCCGACGAUCUGUAGCUGGUCUGAGAGGACGGCCGGCCACACUGGGACUGAGACACGGCCAAGACUCCUACGGGAGGCAGCAGUGGGGAAUUUUGGACAAUGGGCGCAAGCCUGAUCCAGCAAUGCCGCGUGCGGGAAGAAGGCCUUCGGGUUGUAAACCGCUUUUGUACGGAACGAAAAGGCUCUGGCUAAUACCUGGGGCUGAUGACGGUACCGUAAGAAUAAGCACCGGCUAACUACGUG